GCUACCAUCCUCAAUGUUUUAUAUGCCUGAUAAAACUGAAAAUAUUAGUUAUGAUUAUAAAAGCUAUCAACUCUGUAUUGAGUUUGUUCAAAAUGAGUUAGACCCUUGUUGAGAGAUUUAUCAUGCUCCUAAUAUCAAGACAUUUAUUCAGAAAGAUUCACUCUUCUGAAGUAUUAUUGCAUUAGAGGCAUGGGCUAUGCCAAAAUAAGGAUAUUUCGAGGAAAUAAAAAGGAGCAAGUGCUCGAUAACCUCAUAGAAAAAAAUGGACAAGUGUCCGGC
rnacentral:lncRNA from 1 species